GAUGAAGAACGCAGCGAAAUGCGAUAAGUAAUGUGAAUUGCAGAAUUCAGUGAAUCAUCGAAUCUUUGAACGCGCAUUGCGCCCGCCAGUAUUCUGGCGGGCAUGCCUGUUCGAGCGUCAUUUCAACCAUCAAGCCCCCGGCUUGUGUUGGGGACCUGCGGCUGCCGCAGGCCCUGAAAAGCAGUGGCGGGCUCGCUGUCACACCGAGCGUAGUAGCAUACAUCUCGCUCUGGGCGUGCUGCGGGUUCCGGCCGUUAAACCACCUUCAUAACCCAAGGUUGACCUCGGAUCAGGUAGGAAGACCCGCUGAACUUAAGCAUAUCAAUAAGCGGAGGA
rnacentral:misc_RNA from 1 species